AUACGGAGGAUCCGAGCGUUAUCCGGAUUUAUUGGGUUUAAAGGGUGCGCAGGCGGCCAUUUAAGUCAGCGGUUAAAUCGUGGGGCUCAACCCCAUUCUGCCGUUGAUACUGGGUGGCUUGAUUGCGGUCGAGGUUGGCGGAAUUCGUUGUGUAGCGGUGAAAUGCAUAGAUAUGACGAAGAACACCGAUUGCGUAGGCAGCUGACCAGACCGCAAAUGACGCUCAUGCACGAAAGUGCGGGGAUCGAACAGGAUUAGAUACCCUGGUAGUUCGCACAGUAAACGAUGAAUACUUGUUUUCGGCGAUAUAAUGUCGGAGGCAAAGCGAAAGCGAUAAGUAUUCCACCUGGGGAGUACGCCGGCAACGGUGAAACUCAAAGGAAUUGACGGGG
rnacentral:rRNA from 1 species